rnacentral:misc_RNA from 1 species
GAUGAAGAACGCAGCGAAAUGCGAUAAGUAAUGUGAAUUGCAGAAUUCAGUGAAUCAUCGAAUCUUUGAACGCACCUUGCACCCUUUGGCAUUCCGAAGGGUAUGCUCGUUUGAGUGUCAUUGUACUCUCACUCUCCCGAUGCUUUUGGAUCGGGAGUGGUGGACUUGGGUGUUGCUGCUUUGCUGUGGCUCGCCUCAAAUGGAGUAGUGCAACUCUUGGUUGGACAUAGUACGGCGUGAUAAGUGUCUUCGCCGGCGCCUCAUUAUAGAGGGUGGCCGAUCGGGAGCUCUGUGCUUCAAACCGUCUUCGGACAACAUCUGACAACUUGACCUCAAAUCGAGUAGGACUACCCGCUGAACUUAAGCAUAUCAAUAAGCGGAGG